UCAAGUGAAUAAGUGCAUGUGGUGGAUGCCUUGGCGAUUACAGGCGAUGAAGGACGUUGUAGCCUGCGAAAAGCCGCGGGGAGCUGGCAAACAAGCUUUGAUCCGCGGAUGUCCGAAUGGGGAAACCCACCCGCAAGGGUAUCGCUGACUGAAUCCAUAGGUCAGCGAGGCGAACGUGGCGAACUGAAACAUCUAAGUAGCCACAGGAAAAGAAAUCAACCGAGAUUCCGAAAGUAGUGGCGAGCGAAAUCGGAGCAGCCUGUGCGUGAUAGUCGAUUGGCUAGUGGAACGGUAUGGAAAGGCCGGCCAUAGAGGGUGAUAGCCCCUUACACGAAAGCGAAUCGGUGGUACUGAGCGUACGACAAGUAGGGCGGGACACGUGUAAUCCUGUCUGAAGAUGGGGGGACCAUCCUCCAAGGCUAAAUACUCGUAAUCGACCGAUAGUGAACAAGUACUGUGAAGGAAAGGCGAAAAGAACCCCGGGAGGGGAGUGAAAUAGAUCCUGAAACCGCAUGCAUACAAACAGUCGGAGCCUCGCAAGGGGUGACGGCGUACCUUUUGUAUAAUGGGUCAGCGACUUACGUUCAGUGGCAAGCUUAACCAGAUAGGGGAGGCGCAGGGAAACCGAGUCCGAAUAGGGCGCCAUAGUCGCUGGGCGUAGACCCGAAACCAGGUGAUCUAUCCAUGGUCAGGAUGAAGGUUGGGUAACACCAGCUGGAGGUCCGAACCGACUAAUGUUGCAAAAUUAGCGGAUGAACUGUGGAUAGGGGUGAAAGGCUAAUCAAACCUGGAAAUAGCUGGUUCUCCCCGAAAACUAUUUAGGUAGUGCGUCAUGUAUUGCUCCAGGGGGUAGAGCACUGUAAUGGUUGUGGGGGCCAUCGCGGCUUACCACGCCAUAGCAAACUCCGAAUACCUGGAAGUAUGAGCAUGGCAGACAGUCGCCGGGUGCUAACGUCCGGCGGCAAGAGGGAAACAACCCAGACCUACAGCUAAGGUCCCAAAGUGUGGCUAAGUGGGAAACGAAGUGGGAAGGCUAAAACAGUCAGGAUGUUGGCUUAGAAGCAGCCAUCAUUUAAAGAAAGCGUAAUAGCUCACUGAUCGAGUCGUCCUGCGCGGAAGAUGUAACGGGGCUAAGCCAUGCACCGAAGCUUAGGCUGCACUCUCUGAGUGCGGGGUAGGGGAGCGUUCUGUAAGCCUGUGAAGGUGUCUCGUAAGGGAUGCUGGAGGUAUCAGAAGUGCGAAUGCUGACAUGAGUAGCGUUAAAGCGGGUGAAAAGCCCGCUCGCCGUAAGCGCAAGGUUUCCUACGCAACGUUCAUCGGCGUAGGGUGAGUCGGCCCCUAAGGUGAGGGCGAAAGCCAUAGCUGAUGGGAAGCUGGUUAAUAUUCCAGCACCGAUUUCUAGUGCGAUGGGGGGACGGAUCGUGGAAGGUUGUCCGGGUGUUGGAAGUCCCGGUUCCUGACCUGUAGGUGUCUGGUAGGUAAAUCCGCCAGGCGUAUGCCGAGGGGUUGGGACGAGCGAGCUUGCUCGCGAAGCAACUGGAAGUGGUUCCAAGAAAAGCCUCUAAGCUUCAGCUAGAAACGACCGUACCGCAAACCAACACUGGUGCGCGAGAUGAGUAUUCUCAGGCGCUUGAGAGAACUCGGGAGAAGGAACUCGGCAAAUUGACACCGUAACUUCGGAAGAAGGUGUGCCUUGGUAGCUUGAGUGUGAACAACACAAGGGCAAAGAGGUUGCAAAGAAUAGGUGGCUGCGACUGUUUAUUAAAAACACAGCACUCUGCAAACACGAAAGUGGACGUAUAGGGUGUGACGCCUGCCCGGUGCCGGAAGGUUAAGUGAUGGGGUGCAAGCUCUUGAUCGAAGCCCCGGUAAACGGCGGCCGUAACUAUAACGGUCCUAAGGUAGCGAAAUUCCUUGUCGGGU
rnacentral:rRNA from 1 species